rnacentral:rRNA from 1 species
CUCGUAGGUGGUUUGUUGCGUCCGCUGUGAAAACCUGGGGCUUAACCCCGGGCCUGCAGUGGAUACGGGCAGACUAGAGGUAGGUAGGGGAGAAUGGAAUUCCUGGUGUAGCGGUGAAAUGCGCAGAUAUCAGGAGGAACACCGGUGGCGAAGGCGGUUCUCUGGGCCUUACCUGACACUGAGGAGCGAAAGCGUGGGGAGGCAAAACA